rnacentral:rRNA from 1 species
AGUGAACGCUGGCGGCAGGCCUAACACAUGCAAGUCGAACGGACGCACAGUAAGAGCUUGCCCUUACGGUUGGCGGGUGGCGGACGGGUGAGGCAUACAUCGCCAUCCACUUUUUCUUGGGGGAUAUCGGAGGGACGCUUCCGCUAAUAGCGCAUACGAUGAACGGCUGAAUGCAGAAGUUCUUCGCGCCUUUCGUGACACAAAGAGCCGAUGUCGGAUUAGCUAGUUGGCGAGGUAAGGGAACACCAAGGCGACGAUCCGUAGCUGGUCUGAGAGGAUGAUCGGCCACACUGGAACUGAGACACGGUCCAGACUCCUACGGGAGGCAGCAGUGGGGAAUAUUGGACAAUGGGCGCAAGCCUGAUCCAGCCACGCCGCGUGAGUGAAGAAGGCCUUCGGGUUGUAAAGCCCUUUUGUUAGGAAAGAACAUCUGCGUGUGAAUAUGCGGCUGUUUUGACGGUACCCAAAGAAAAAGCACCGGCUAACUACGUG